UAUUUUUUAUUCUUUUAAUUUGCUUAUAUCAUAUGAACUCUCCAAUUUUUCCUUUUUGUGUCUACUAAAAUUUCUUAAACUCUUACUUUCCAUUUUUAUUUAUGUGAGUUUUGGGAUUUGUAAUUAAAAGGAAAAUACAAGAAAAGUUCAAUCGAAGUAGUUUGGAUACUAGACAAGGAAUAUACCAUAUUAUAAAAAGAGAAGAUGCAUGUACUAGUGAUAUCAUUGCCUUUGGCUAUAUUGGUAUUGAUUUUAAUAGCCAUUGCUUGUUACUUCUUUGGAAGAUCAAGGGGUAGAUGGUGAUUAUAUAAUUAUUCAAAUAAUUCCUCAUAAUAAAAUAAAUAAAAUGGAACGCUUUAAUUUUGUUUAAAGAACUUUUUAUAUCUUGUUGUAUCAUGUAUGUUUCUUGAUUUUGUAUUUUUAUUAGAAUGAAAUAUCACUUUUAAGUUGUGUUAUAUGA